GACAGAGGGUGCAAACGUUGCUCGGAAUUACUGGGCGUAAAGCGCGCGUAGGCGGCUUUGCAAGUCGGGUGUGAAAUCCCCAGGCUUAACCUGGGAACUGCAUUCGAGACUGCAUUGCUAGAGUAUGGGAGAGGGAAGUGGAAUUUCCGGUGUAGCGGUGAAAUGCGUAGAUAUCAGGAGGAAUACCGAUGGCGAAGGCAGGUCUCUGGGCUGACACUGACGCUCAUGCACGAAAGCGUGGGGAGCAAACAGG
rnacentral:rRNA from 1 species